rnacentral:lncRNA from 1 species
UGCAAGGAAUGGGUUGUCGGAGAACAUGCUCAACGCAACACUGGUGGUAGCGGCGCUGGUCAUAACAGCAAUCUACCAGUCGUCUUUAAGCCCACCAAGAGGUCUUUGGCAAGGUGAUAACACUAUCCCCACCACCACCUCAAACCUUACUACGACUACUAAAUUUACCCUCUUUAACGACAAUUACAGUGAGUAUCGUUUUAAAUUUGUGUUGGGUGAAGAAACAAGGAAAACAGGUACAGCAGUCAUGAAUCCCAACUUGUUUUUAGGGUUUUGGUUUUUCAAUUUUAUAGCAUUUGGGCUUCCGGUUCUUCUAACCGUUUUGCUUUUAUCCAAUGUACCUAGUAUUCUUCUCAUCCCGCUGUAUUAUCUAUCCGUCUCCUACUUCAACUGCAUGACAAUAAUAUCUCCUUCCACGUUUUGGGCAAACCUCAACUUUGUUGUCAUGUGGACAGCCAUUAUUCUCCCGUUGCUCAUAGUUUUUAGAAGUGUAUGGUUAUCGAAGCGGCCAAAGUACAGGGAAAUCAGACAAUUACGCAGACUUUUCCACAAAUAGAAUAAUGUUGGAAUCACUCAAUGGUUGCGAAUGUCAAUGUAGUUUACAUGUUCUCUUAUGUUAUGUACUCUUUUUCCAUUUUCUCUGGAUUAAUAUCUUUUCUCUUGGGUAAAAAAAUUAUGUAAUUGCUUUGGAUAAAUUUAAUAAAUAAGAGUAAUUUUCCCAACAGAUAUCUUUGUCCUUUGCAACGAAAAGAAAAAACAAAGAAAAGCCAACCAUCCUAUUUUCUAAUUUUAAAAAAUAAUUUCCUGUUUCUGAAAAUAUCGAUUCUUUUUUUUUAAAGAUGUUUUCAAAAUAUUAUUCAGUCAAAGUUAAUGAAUUUCUCAACAAAUCGAUAAUGUUGUGGAAUUUGUUGCGGAAAGGAUCGAUUCGAGAACUCCGAUAUGACUACAAGUAAAUUGACCGAAACGAAAAAAUAAAGUGAACACAAGGAUUUACGUGGUUCGGCUUUAAUGCCUACGUCCACGGGCAGAGGCGAAAAGAAAUUUCACUAUAACAAGAUGAAGAUUACAAGUGUUUUACACUCAAGACACAACCCGAGAACCUCACAACUCUCAACCCCUAUAGAAAACCCGAAAGCUAAAAUCCUAGCUUUCAAAGAACAAGCUUUGCUCUCUCUUGGUUUGGGAUCAUCAAUAUGGCUAAUGAACCUCUCUAUUUAUAAGAGAGUUCAAGGACAUAAUUGUCCAAAACUUUGGCAAAGAUUUGUGGUUGAAAAUGGACACCAACAACCAUCCACUAAUCCACUACCACCAACAACCCACUACCAAUUUUAAGCCAUUUCUUAACAAAUCUCCACCUUGGCUUGAAAUUUACCAAGCUGAACAUCAUAGUGAACUGGAUCACCUCUUCCAAACGCCUCUCUGGCGCUAAUCAAUCCCGAAUACCUAUCAAGUCCAAGCAAUGCUUGAACUUAUAUGCAGGGAUCACCUUAGUUAACAUAUCUGCAGGAUUCUUCUCGGUAGCAACCUUGCUGAUAACAAUGUCACCUUGCGUAACAUGUUCCCGAACAAAAUGAUAUCUGACAUCAAUGUGUUUGGUCCGUUCAUGAAACAUCUGAUUUUUAGUCAGAUGUAUGGCACUCUGGCUAUCGCAAAAUACAACAGUGAAAUCCUGUUGUAAACCCAAACUGCUUACUAGACCUUUCAUCCACAAUGCUUCUUUCACUGCUUCUGCUAACGCCAUAUAUUCCGCCUCAGUCGUAGAUAAGGCUACGGUAGACUGUAACACAGCUUUCCAACUAAUGGCUCCUCCAGAAUAAGUGAAAACAUAACCCGUCAGAGAUCUUCUUUUGUCCAGAUCUCCAGCAUAAUCAGAGUCCGCAUAGCCCGUGACACUGCUAGUGCAGUCACUCUGAUCAUAUACCAAGCAUAAAUCUGCAGAACCUCUCAAGUACCUGAGAAUCCAUUUCACGGCCUGCCAGUGUUCCUUGCCAGGACAACUCAUGUAUCUGCUGACCACACUAACUGCAUGUGAAAUGUCUGGACGAGUGCAAACCAUUGCAUACAUCACGCUUCCAACUGCACUCGAGUAUGGAAUGUGAGACAUUUGCUGCUUUUCUUCAUCAGAUUGUGGUGACAACUCUGCAGAGAGUUUGAAAUGUGGUGCCAACGGAGUACUCACAGUUUUCGCUUUAUCCAUGCCGAAGCGUUGAAGAACCUUUUCAAUGUAGUUCUUCUGCGACACACGAAGCUUGCCCGCCUUGCGAUCUCUGUGAAUAUCCAUGCCCAAAAUUUUCUUGGCAGCACCCAGAUCCUUCAUCUCGAACUCACCACUCAACUGCGACUUUAACUUGUUGAUUUCCGACAUGUUUUUGGAAGCAAUUAACAUGUCAUCAACAUACAGCAACAAAUAAAUGUGCGAACCAUCUGAGAGCUUCCGAUGAUAGACACAAGCAUCAUAGUCACAUCUUGUGUAACCAUGCUGAAUCAUGAAGCUAUCAAACCGCUUGUACCACUGCCUUGGGGAUUGUUUCAAUCCAUAUAAAGACUUCUUUAAUAGACAGACAUGGUCUUCUUUACCAGGAACUGUAAAACCCUCUGGUUGACGCAUGUAGAUUGUUUCCUCGAGCUCACCAUGCAAGAACGCCGUUUUUACGUCAAGCUGCUCAAGUUCUAGAUCAGACUUGGCCACCAUGGCAAGUAAUACACGAAUGGAAGAAUGCUUUACGACUGGGGAGAAAACUUCAUUGUAGUCAAUCCCCUCUUUCUGAGUGAAGCCUUUAGCAACCAAUCGUGCCUUGAAUCUAGUUGCUUCAACCCCUAGGAUGCCUUCCUUUUUCUUGAAGACCCAUUUGCAACCAACUAUCUUCUGGUUACUUGGCGGCUUAACCAACUCCCAAGUAUGGUUCUUGUGAAGAGAUUCUAUCUCCUCACUCAUAGCAAUUGCCCACUGUGCCGACUCAUCACACGUGACAGCCUCAUUAUAACUGGAAGGUUCUAUACCAAUGGACUCCGCCACACUGAGCGCGAAAGACACCAGAUUAGCGUAACGCGGAUUUGGUUUGAUUUGUCUCUUCGUUCUUCCAGUGGCAAUGCUAUAUGGUUUUUCUUGAGGUGACUCAUCUUCAUCGGAAUCUUGCACCUCAACUUGAUCAUCCUGGACUGAAGUACCUUCCGUAGGAAUUGGAGCGUCCACCUGACACUCCACCUGCUUCUCAACACCGUGAUCUCCCAUUCUAUCUGACUCCUCCUUUUCCCGGGAAUUUGUGGUGGAUCGAAGCAUGGAUGACUCAUCAAAAGUCACAUCUCUGCUGAUGAUGAACUUGGACGAAACCGGAUCAGGACACCACAACCUGUAUCCUUUCACCCCUUGGCCGUAUCCAAGAAAUAUGCAUUUCUUCGCCCUCGGUUUGAGUUUUCCCUCAUUUACAUGAGCAUACGCAGGGCAGCCAAACACUCUUAAACCAGAGUAAUCAGCAGGAGAACCAGACCAUACUUCCUCAGGAGUCUUCAGCUCAAUAGCUGUUGACGGAGAUCUGUUAACCAAAUAACAAGCAGUAUUAACAGCUUCAGCCCAAAAUUCUUCACCGAGCCCAGCAUUUGAUCGCAUGCAACGAGCUCGCUCCAAGAGAGUUCUAUUCAUGCGUUCUGCAACUCCAUUUUGUUGUGGUGUUCGACGAACAGUGCGGUGUCUCACUAUUCCUUCAUUUUUGCAGAACUCAUUGAAUUCACCUGAGCAAAACUCCAAGCCAUUAUCCGUCCGGAAUCGCUUGAUCUUCUUUCCUGUUUGAUUUUCGAUCAAAGCUUUAAAUUGCUUGAAGUUGAUGAGAACCUCAUACUUGCUCUUCAGAAAAUACACCCAAACCUUUCUCGAGUAAUCAUCGAUAAAGGUAAGCAGAUAUCUGUAACCACCUUUAGAAAUUGUCGGAGAAGGCCCCCAAAGGUCAGAAUGGAAGUAAUCCACUGUGCCUUUUGUCUUGUGAAUCCCAGUGCUGAACUUUACCCGAGUCUGCUUACCGAAGACGCAGUGCUCACAGAAAUUCAACUUUCCUGUACACUGCCCAGACAAUAAUCCUCGUUUGCUUAGCACCGAUAAGCCUCUCUCGCUCAUAUGCCCGAGCCGCAUAUGCCAUAACUUCGUGGUGUCAGAAUCUAGAUCAUCUGAUGAUGACACUCCCGCAACACCUGUAACCGAGGAACCAUCGAGGAAGUAAAGGCCCCGCUCCAAAUUACCACGUAUCACAGUCAAAGCACCCGAGAAUACCUUGAGAACUCCACCUUCAGCAGAGUACCGAAAGCCUUUCUUGUCCAACGUACUCAAAGAGAUCAAAUUUUUCUUCAUUUCUGGAAUGUGCCGAACAUCAGUUAGAGUUCUAACAAUACCGUCAAACAUCUUUAUACGAACUGUGCCAAUCCCCAUGACUUGACAUGCGUGGUCAUUUCCCAUUAGUACUGAACCAGAAUGCUUCUCGUAUGUUGAGAAUGCAUCUUUCGAAGUACUUAUAUGAAAUGUAGCUCCCGUAUCAAGAAUCCAUCUCCCACCAGCGUAAGAGUCGGAUACUGCAAGAACGAUCUCGGCAUCACUUGAAGAAUCUGCAUCAGCUACAUUCGCACGAUCAUUUUGUUGCUCCUGUGAUUCUGAUUUCUCCUUCCUUUUCGGACAAUCUACCUUCAUGUGCCCGUACUUCUUACAGUAGUAGCACUGUAUUCUCUUCUUGGACUGCGAUCUAGGAUGGCUUUUACUUGAACUUCCACCCUUUGCCUUGGAUCUUCCUCGAGCAACCAAGCCUUCGCCUUCAUUGUUUUCGACCACCUUACCAGUGAUUUUCUUCCUCAACUCACUGGAACUUAAGGCAUUUUUCACCUCCUCUAGAGUCAGGUCAUCACGACCGUACAUCAUUGUAUCAACAAAAUUCUCAUACGAGGGAGGCAAAGAACACAAAACAAUUAUUGCUUGGUCCUCAUCAUCGAUUUUGUUAUCGAUAUUAUUCAAAUCCAUGAUAAUGGAAUUGAAUUUAUCCAGGUGCUGGGAAACAGGUGUACCUUCCUCCAUCUUCAGGGCAUAGAGUCUUUGCUUGAGGUAGAGCCGGUUCGUCAAUGACUUCGUCAUGUACUUGCUCUCUAACCGGAGCCACAAACCGGACGCGGUUUUCUCAUCCGCUACUUCUCGUAGCACUUCAUCUCCUAGACAUAGCAGAAUAGCACUAUGUGCUCUUUCUAGCAUGUCAUCCUUUUGCUCUUCCGAAAGCGUGCUUGGUAAUUUAUCUUUACCAGACAAUGCUUUUAGCAAUCCUUGUUGAACCAGCACUGCCCGCAUCUUGAUGCGCCAUAAACUGAAACUAUUUUUCCCGGUAAAUUUCUCGACAUCAUACUUAGUCGAUGAAACACUUGUAGCCAUAAUUUGGAACCUUUGAAUGAAUGAUAAUAUUUUCUUCCUGAUGUGAAAGAUCAGACAAAGCUGCAGUCACAGGGCAAUUCAGAAAAUAUUAUCACUCCUUCAACUACGCUCUGAUACCAAUUUGUUGCGGAAAGGAUCGAUUCGAGAACUCCGAUAUGACUACAAGUAAAUUGACCGAAACGAAAAAAUAAAGUGAACACAAGGAUUUACGUGGUUCGGCUUUAAUGCCUACGUCCACGGGCAGAGGCGAAAAGAAAUUUCACUAUAACAAGAUGAAGAUUACAAGUGUUUUACACUCAAGACACAACCCGAGAACCUCACAACUCUCAACCCCUAUAGAAAACCCGAAAGCUAAAAUCCUAGCUUUCAAAGAACAAGCUUUGCUCUCUCUUGGUUUGGGAUCAUCAAUAUGGCUAAUGAACCUCUCUAUUUAUAAGAGAGUUCAAGGACAUAAUUGUCCAAAACUUUGGCAAAGAUUUGUGGUUGAAAAUGGACACCAACAACCAUCCACUAAUCCACUACCACCAACAACCCACUACCAAUUUUAAGCCAUUUCUUAACAGAAUUAAAUCUGAAUAUUACAUAAAAAGAUGACAAUACAUUUUUUCGAUUUAAUAUUCAAGCCAAAUAACAUGCAACUUUGAUAGAGAUAAUGAACAGUAAACCUCAUAAGGGUUCUAAGAAGUCCUUUUAUGCUUGCCUUUCCAGACUACACCGCUUUGGAGCCCAAUAUGGCUCAUUCUCUUUGUCUGCAUAGUCAGCUUUUGUGCUUGCUUGAGUUUUGCGGUUUCAGGUCCUUUUCACUUCUACAAGCAUUAAGAUUGUCUACACUAGAUCACAUUCAUGUAAUUUGGGCUCACAAUGAACCUGGUUUUGUCUGGACUCAUUGCUAUGUGUUUAAGUUAGACUUGGACCUUUCAUUUUUUUUUAUAUGAAAAUUGAUUGCUCGGGAAUUUUGUUAAACCAAACUAUGUCAAUUUUACCUUAAAAAAAACAUGUUAAUUUUGUACACGUCCUUGUACUAUUAUAGUAUGAAAUAUAUUUUUCUUUCAAAUGAGAAAACAAGUAAUAUGAAUUUUUUUUUUGUAAUAAUUGAAUUAAACUGUUAAAUGCGACGGUUCAAAUUAAGCAACAAUGAGUUAGGUAAACUUGUCAUUAUUUAAAUUAAUAUCUAUCAUUUAAUUAAGCCCCCUUAUAAAAUUAUUUUCCUUUACAAUUCUUAUGAAAUCAAAAAAAAAAAAAUUUUUGCAGGACUGAGAUAAAAUUAUAAAAUUUUAGGAAGAUCAAUGUUAUUUUUUUUUGCUUAAAUUAAAUUAUUAAAUUUUUAGAACGGCGAAAAAUUAAAAAUUUUCCAUUAAUCAAAAAGGUUUUAAAAAAAAACUUAAAUGAAAUAAUUGGUCCUUGUAGUCUCAAUUUCUAAGGACCUUUGGGCUGAAUUUAAGAGUACAAGAACCAAAAUGCACUCCUCUCAAUUGAAUAUUAUAAUUGGUUUGAUUUAUUAUUUUUGGUGCAAACAAUCAACACUCAAACAGUCAAUACCGUCCGAUAGAUCACGUGGAAAACCAUCCUAACAUAUGAGAAUAUAUCCAGAAGAAGAAACUUAUCCAAAUCCAACCCACCACAAGUUGUCAACCAGCUCAUCCCAUUGGCCUUUCCACACCUUCGAACUGAUUGGUGCAAUCCGAGCUGGUCCUAUUAUUGGAAAGAGAAUAGAAUCUUAACCGUGGGACCACACUUAAGCCGGCGUCCUAAAUGAUUAGACGCGUGAAAAAACGGUGGGUAUUCUUUCACCCAAUACCAUCACUACAAAUACACAAACCAUGUCUACCCAUACUCUGGGCUAUUUGUGAUAAAACAGGAAAACAAUGAAAAAUAAUAAUAUAAAGAAGAGAAAACAUUCAAAUCUCGUUAAAUUCAUGAACAAAAUUGGUUGUGGGGUUCUCAAUGUUGCUAAGUAAAGACGGAGUUUUUAAUAUUGAUGCGAGAGCUAUUUUAGAAGGGUUAUGUUAGAGAUUGAGAGUAAUAACACUCUUUUGAUGGGAUGAUUGUAGAGGGAGGAGCAGCUAAUAGUUAGUUAAUAGAAUUACAUUCUAUUCAUCGAAUGAUGCGUCGAGAUUGGAAGAUUUGUUUUCGUCAUAUCCCAAGAACUCACAAUACAAUUGCUGAUCAUAUUACUAAGGUUAUGACGAUAAAAUUCACUGAAGUCUUAUUUUGUACAACAUUUAAUAUAAACAGAUUACAUUAGUAUUACAUAGGCUAAUACGUUAUCUUAAUAGUAUCGCGUACAGCUAUUUUAAUUUACCAAAUAAUAAUAAUAAUGGAGCCCAUGCUUUUUGAAUCUUUUCUAUGUCACAGCUAUGGAGAUGGGUCAAGACACAACUAUCCUUUUUUUAGGUCAAAUAAAUCUCAAUUAGUUUUUUAAGCCCUCUGUAUAUAUAUAUUUAUCUAAUAAAAUUUUCCACGUUUCAUAAUGAUCGAAGAAGUGUAAAGCAAAAGUUUAUAAAAAGUUUAUAAUUAAAAAAUAUUCCAUAUCUUCGAGUAUUUAACUGAAAAGUUGAUAUGUUUAUAAAAAUUUAUUUUAUGAUCAAUAUAUAUCAAGAAAAAAAUUUUAAUUUCAAAAAAAUAUUGAUUAAAAAUAUCCACCAAAAUGAUAAGAAUGUACAUAAUUCAAAAUUUUAAACAUCUUAUUUUUAAACUGAUAUUCCUAAGUAAAUUAUAUAUCUUAAAAUAUGUUUUUAAUACUGAUAUUUCUUAAUAAAUUUGUUUCUAAAUUAAAUAUUAUUUUUCUAAAAUUAUCUUAAAAUUUUUGAUACGUGAAAAAAGUUCGACAAAAUAUAGUAAAAUAUUAAAAAAUAAAUAUUAAAAAAAACACAUACCAAUACACAAAAUAUAUUUUAUAACAUGUUAUUUAAAAUAAAUAUUUUAUUUUCUAAAAGUAUUUUUUUUGCCACAAUACUAAAAAUAUAAAUUUUAGAGUAAAAUAUUUGAAAGCUAAGCUGGUCAACUUGCCUUGAAACAAGUGGGGAAAAUGCGUCCAAAUUAUAUUGAAGUGAGAAACAGGGAGUGGGUUUCAAGAUUUUGAAGUCUAUGAUUGGCGGCCAUCGAUUUAUAUCCCUCGUCAAAUCUAUAUUUUAAAAAUGAUUAAAAAUAUUCGAUAUUUAUAUUCAAUAUAAAUCUACCCUUGACGGAGCUUGUUUUAAAUCAGUUGAGGUUUCAAAUAAGGAUAGUCAUUUUGCAACUCUCCUAAUUUCUUCAUCAUUUAAAGAAAGAAACAAAAGCAUGGAUCCAAGCUUGAGAGAAGUAGCUGGAACAGGAGAUACUAAUGCCUUGUACGCUCUAAUUCGAAAGGAUCCGUACAUGUUGGAGCGUAUUGAUCAGAUUCCUUUCAUCGAUACUCCACUUCACAUAGCAGCAAAUGAAGGCCAAAUUAAGUUUGCAAUGGAGAUGAUAAACUUGAAGCCUUCGUUUGGUCGGAAGCUAGACCAAGACGGCUUUAGCCCCAUGCAUUUGGCCUUCAAAAUGGGGCAUACCAAGCUAGUGCUUCGACUGUUGAAGACCGAUAAAGACCUGGUUCGCGUCAGAGGAAGGGAAGGGAUGACCCCUUUCCAUUGUGCAGCUGCAGUGGGGAACUCUAAUCUUUUAUUCCAGUUCCUUGAAACUUGCCCUGAAUGUGUUGAGGAUGUCACGGUUCGUAACGAGACUGCAUUACAUCUUGCUCUGAAAAACAACCACACCGACGCUUUUAAUCUCUUACAUGGAUGGCUUCGAAAGAACCGUCGUGGAGGAGGCAAGGAUUUGGAAAGAAAGGUUGUGAAUUGGAGAGAUGAUGAUGACAACACUGUGUUGCACAUUGCAGCUACAAAGCAACAGCAUCAGGUAUAUAUGCAAUAUAAUGAUAAGUUGCGUUCCUUUGAUCAUUUUAUUAAUGACUAUUUAUAAUAUUCUACGCAGGCAGUACAACUGUUGUUGGAUUCCUUUUAUGGGUUAGAUGCAAACGCUAAGAACUCGGAAGGCUUGACAGCUCGAGAAAUCAUAGAAAGGGUUGAAAGACAGGGGUUGAACAUGAGUGGCGCCGAAGACGAUGAUACCACCACCGCCAAGAUUGAGCGCAUUAAGAAAAGAACCAGUAGGUCUGAAAGAGCAUUAAUAAAGUUGAUUCGUGCAAGGAAUGGGUUGUCGGAGAACAUGCUCAACGCAACACUGGUGGUAGCGGCGCUGGUCAUAACAGCAAUCUACCAGUCAUCUUUAAGCCCACCAAGAGGUCUUUGGCAAGGUGAUAACACUAUCCCCACCAACACCACAAACCUUACUACGACUACUAAAUUUACACUCUUUCACGACAAUUACAGUGAGUAUCGUACUAGAGUUGUGUUCGGUGAACAAACAAAGGAAACUGGUACAGCAGUCAUGAAUCCCAACUUGUUUUUAGCGUUUUGGUUUUUCAAUUUUAUAGCAUUUGGGCUUCCAAUUCUUCUAACCGUUUUGCUUUUAUCCAAUGUAC